rnacentral:rRNA from 1 species
CACGGGGGAUGCGAGCGUUAUCCGGAAUUAUUGGGCGUAAAGCGCUUGUAGGUUGUCUAAUAAGUCUGUUGUUAAAGACUAGGGCUUAACCCUAGAAAAGCGAUGGAAACUACUAGACUUGAGUAUGAUAGGGGUAAAGGGAAUUUCUAGUGUAGCGGUGAAAUGCGUAGAUAUUAGAAAGAACACCAGCGGCGAAGGCGCUUUACUGGAUCAUCACUGACACUCAGAGGCGAAAGCUAGGGUAGCGAAAGGG